GAUGAACGCUGGCGGCGUGCCUAAUACAUGCAAGUCGAGCGAACAGACGAGGAGCUUGCUCCUCUGACGUUAGCGGCGGACGGGUGAGUAACACGUGGAUAACCUACCUAUAAGACUGGGAUAACUUCGGGAAACCGGAGCUAAUACCGGAUAAUAUAUUGAACCGCAUGGUUCAAUAGUGAAAGACGGUUUUGCUGUCACUUAUAGAUGGAUCCGCGCCGCAUUAGCUAGUUGGUAAGGUAACGGCUUACCAAGGCGACGAUGCGUAGCCGACCUGAGAGGGUGAUCGGCCACAAUGGAACUGAGACAAGGUCCAGACUCCUACGGGAGGCAGCAGUAGGGAAUCUUCCGCAAUGGGCGAAAGCCUGACGGAGCAACGCCGCGUGAGUGAUGAAGGUCUUCGGAUCGUAAAACUCUGUUAUUAGGGAAGAAAAAAUGUGUAAGUAACUAUGCACGUCUUGACGGUACCUAAUCAGAAAGCCACGGCUAACUACGUG
rnacentral:rRNA from 1 species